UACGUAGGUCCCGAGCGUUGUCCGGAUUUAUUGGGCGUAAAGCGAGCGCAGGUGGUUUAUUAAGUCUGGUGUAAAAGGCAGUGGCUCAACCAUUGUAUGCAUUGGAAACUGGUAGACUUGAGUGCAGGAGAGGAGAGUGGAAUUCCAUGUGUAGCGGUGAAAUGCGUAGAUAUAUGGAGGAACACCAGUGGCGAAGGCGGCUUACUGGACUGUAACUGACGUUGAGGCCCGAAAGCGUGGGGAGCAAACAGG
rnacentral:rRNA from 1 species